CCAGCUGGCUGGGCGGCCGCACCCGCAAACGCCGAAAGGUCGUGGGUGAGGAAAGUCCGGGCUCCAUGGAAACACGGUGCCGGUUAAUGGCCGGCGGGGGCGACCCCAGGGAAAGUGCCACAGAAAGCAAACCGCCACGAUCCGGCUUGCCGGAUUCGGGGUAAGGGUGAAAGGGUGGGGUAAGAGCCCACCGCGCGACUGGCAACAGGAGCGGCACGGUAAACCCCACCGGGAGCA
rnacentral:RNase_P_RNA from 1 species